AGUGAACGCUGGCGGUAGGCCUAACACAUGCAAGUCGAACGGCAGCACAGUAAGUGCUUGCUGUUACGGGUGGGAAGUGGCGGGUGGGUGAGGAAUACAUCGGCAUCUACUUUUUCGUGGGGGAUAACGAAGGGGAAUUUAAGCUAAUACCGCAUUCGACCUACGGGUGAAAGCAGGGGAUCUUUGUACCUUACGCGUUUGAUUGCGCCGUUGUCGGAUUAGCUAGUUGGCGGGGUAAAGGCCCACCAAGGCGAGGAUCCGUAGCUGGUCUGAGAGGAUGAUCGGCCACACUGGAACUGAGACACGGUCCAGACUACUACGGGAGGCAGCAGUGGGGAAUAGUAGACAAUGGGCGCAAGCCUUAUCCAGCCAGACCGCGUGGGUGGAGAAGGCCUUGGGGUUGUAAAGACCGCCUGUUGGGAAAGAAAAGCAGCAGGUUAAUACCACGCUGUUCUGACGGUACCCAAAGAAGAAGCACCGGCUAACUUCGUG
rnacentral:rRNA from 1 species